rnacentral:tRNA from 1 species
UGGGCGGUUAGCUCAGCGGUUAGAGCGCCUGUCUUACAAACAGGAGGUCGGAGGUUCAAGUCCUCCAUCGCCCAU